UCUGUGAUGGCCAAGGGGUUAAGGCGUUGGACUUGAAAUCCAAUGGGGGUUUCCCAGCACAGGUUCAUGUCCUGCUUACAGUG